rnacentral:rRNA from 1 species
AAUUAGCCUCUUAAUUGGGGGAUAGUAUGAAUGGUAAUAUUGACCAGAUCCUAAUUUUUUUAUUGUGAAUUUUGAGUAAAGGUGAAAAUUCCUUUAUAAUAAUUUUAGACAAAAAGACCCUAUGAAGCUUACAAUGAAUAUAUAACAAAUUAAUUAAGAAUUGUUUCUUUGGGGAAAAGGUUAACGAUUGUAUUUUUAGAGUGUAAGAUCCUGAGAAGAACUACGAAAAAGCUCCCCUAGGGAUAACAGCGCCAUUUUAUUUUAAAGCCCACAUUAAAAA